UGGGGUGUAAAGUUCUGUCGGCAGGGACGAAAAAAAUGACGGUACCUGCAAAGGAAGCAUCGGCUAACUACGUGCCAGCAGCCGCGGUAAGACGUAGGAUGCGAGCGUUGUCCGGAUUUAUUGGGCGUAAAGAGUUCGUAGGCGGUUCGUUAAGUCUGAUGUUAAAGAUCGGGGCUCAACCUCGAGAGUGCAUUGGAUACUGGCGGACUUGAGUGCAGUAGAGGCGAGUGGAAUUCUCAGUGUAGCGGUGAAAUGCGUAGAUAUUGGGAAGAA
rnacentral:rRNA from 2 species